AAUAAGUGCAGUUUUGCACUAUUCACGUUCAACGUUUGACCGUUCGUCUUAUUUAAAAUUUUUUUAUGAUUAGUAUUUUUAUUAUUGCUAUUAGAUGAUAAAACAUGAAUAGUACUUUAUGUGUGACUAAAUAUUUUUAAAUAAGACGGACGGUCAAAUGUUGGACACGGAUAUUCACGGCUGAACUUAUU
rfam:Oryza nivara chromosome 3, whole genome shotgun sequence.